CUGCAGGCUGUCCAACUAAGGGCAUACUAUGCAGGCAGCACCUUGAGCUUGACAUAAAUGCAUCUAAUGAUGCACUCGCUCCAUGCUUUCUAAGGACGGUCCCCUAGCACUCGCUGGUCCACUUGUCUCCUUACCUUCUUACUAGCAGGCAGAAGUUCUUGAUAUAUAGUCUGAGACAGAGAAAAGGUGUAUGUAGUGAGUGUAGUGUAUGUAGUGAGUGUAGAAGUAAGGGGACAUGCCACAGAGACCAACGUCUGCAUUACCUAAACUAACUUUAAUGUCAGCCAGUGCACACAAGUUUUGUUCCCAUACAUCCCUCUUAAGCUUCCAAACUUAAAGGGACACUAUAGUCACCAGAACAACUACAGCUUAUUGUAUUUGUUCUGGUAAGUAGAAGUAGCAUUCCAUUUAGGCCUUUUGCAGUAAACACUGUCUUUUAAGAGAAAAUAACUCCACUGGCCGCUCCUUAGAUGGCUGCUAGAGGUGCUUCCUGGGGCAGUACUGCCUAGUCUGCAACACUGCCAUUCAGUGUCUCCACCCUCUGCAUGCAGACACUGAACUUUCCUCAUGAUUGAUUCAAUGUAUCUUUAUGAGGAGAUGCUGAUUGGCCAGGGCUAUGUUAGACUUAUGCUGGCUCUGCCCCUGAUCUGCCUAGUUGACAGUCUCAGCCAAUCCUAUGGGGAAGUAUUGUAAUUUGCUCAGAUCACCACUUCUAAGCCAGCAGCUGCAGACUUGAAUACAAGUAAUAUUCUACUAUAUUUAGGGAGGCAAGAAGGGGCCAGGGUGGUGGUUUUAACAUAAUAGGGUCAGAAAUACAUGAUUGUGUUACUGACCCUAUAGUGCUCCUUUAAGCAAGAAUAUGUGAAGCGUAGUUAAGGUUGCCACCUUUCUUGGAAAAAAAUACCAGCCUUAAUCAUUUGUAUAAUUAAUUAGUUAUGCGUGACAUCACAUGAUGUAAAUCACAAGGAGUGACAGCAGAAAAAAUUCUGUAAAAUCACCAACAAACUACUCACAGUUUGAUUCUGCUGUAUAGAUGGAUUGUUCCCAGUGUCUCAGUCUCGCAAGUCACCCAGUGUCUCAGUGUCCCUAUGUAUCACAGUGUCAGUGUCCCCAUGUCGCCCAGUCCCCUAGUCUCCCAGUGUCUGUGUACCCAUUUCUCCCAGUGUCCCAAUGUCUCAGUGUGUCCCCAUGUCACUAGGAUACUGGGGACACUGAGAGACAUGGGGACACAGACAUUUAGGGAAACUGGGAGAAAUGGGGACACUGAGACACUAGGGACACAGACACUGGGAGACAUGGGGACACUGAAACAUUUGUAGACACUAAGACACUAGGGACACAGAGACAUGGGAACACAGACACUGGGAGACUAGGGGACACUGUGAGACUAGGGGACACUGGGAGACAUGGGGACAGUUGUGGACAUAGACAUGGGGACACUGGGACAUAUAGGACAUUUGAAACAUUUGGGGACACUAAGACACUAGGGACACAGAGACAUGGGAACACAGACACUGGGAGACUAGGGGACACUGGGAGACAGACACUUGGGGACACUGGGAGACAUGGGUACAGUUGUGGACAUAGACAUGGGGAAACUGAGACACUAGGAACACAGACACUGGGAGACAUGGGGACACUGAAACAUUUGGGGACCCUAAGACACUAGGGACACAGACACAGAGACUAGGGGAUACUGGGAGACUAGGGAACACUGGCUGGGAGACAGACAUUUGGGGAUACAUGGGGACAGUUGUGGACAUAGACAUGGGGACACUGGGACAUAUAGGGACACUGGGACACAUGGGGACACUAGGCACACUGAGAGACAUGGGACACAGACACUGGGAGACUUGGGGACACUGAGACACUAGGGACACUGGCUGGGGGACAUGGGAACAUCGUGUCUCCGUGUCCCAAUGUCUCCCAAUGUCCCUAUGUCUUACAGCAUCCCAUGUGUCCCAGUGUCCCCUAGUGUCUCAGUGUCCCCAUGUUUUCCAGUGUCCCCAAGUGUCUCAGUGUCCCCAUGUGUCUGUGUCCCCAGGUCUCCCAGUGUCUGUGUCCCCAGGUGUCCUAGUGUCUCAGUGUCCCCUAGUGUCUGUGUCCCCAUGUGUCCCCUAGUGUCUCAGUGUCCCCAUAUGUCCCCUAGUGUCUCAGUGUCCUCUAGUGUCCCGGUGUCCCCAUGUUUUCCAGUGUCCCCAAGUGUCUCAGUGUUCCAAGGUCUCCCAGUGUCUGUGUCCCCAGGUGUCCUAGUGUCUCAGUGUCCCCUAGUGUCUGUGUCCCCAUGUGUCCCCCAGUGUCUGUGUCCCCUAGUGUCUCAGUGUCCCCAUGUGUCCCCUAGUGUCUCAGUGUCCCCAUAUGUCCCCUAGUGUCUCAGUAUCCUCUAGUGUCCCGGUGUCCCCAUGUUUUCCAGUGUCCCCAAGUGUCUCAGUGUUCCAAGGUCUCCCAGUGUCUGUGUCCCCAGGUGUCCUAGUGUCCCCAUGUGUCCCCUAGUGUCUGUGUCUCCAUAUGUCCCCUAGUGUCUCAGUGUCCUCUAGUGUCCCGGUGUCCCCAUGUUUUCCAGUGUCCCCAUGUGUCUGUGUCCCCAGGUCUCCCAGUGUCUGUGUCCCCAGGUGUCCUAGUGUCUCAGUGUCCCCUAGUGUCUGUGUCCCCAUGUGUCCCCUAGUGUCUCAGUGUCCCCAUAUGUCCCCUAGUGUCUCAGUGUCCUCUAGUGUCCCGGUGUCCCCAUGUUUUCCAGUGUCCCCAAGUGUCUCAGUGUUCCAAGGUCUCCCAGUGUCUGUGUCCCCAGGUGUCCUAGUGUCCCCAUGUGUCCCCUAGUGUCUGUGUCUCCAUAUGUCCCCUAGUGUCUCAGUGUCCUCUAGUGUCCCGGUGUCCCCAUGUUUUCCAGUGUCCCCAAGUGUCUCAGUGUUCCAAGGUCUCCCAGUGUCUGUGUCUUAGUGUCUCAGUGUCCCCUAGUGUCUGUGUCCCCAUGUGUCCCCCAGUGUCUGUGUCCCCUAGUGUCUCAGUGUCCCCAUAUGUCCCCUAGUGUCUCAGUGUCCCCAUGUGUCCCUGCUACCUUUCCCCCCAUCCCUCACCUGAGCUGUAGAGCUGCUGUCUGGACUCUAUGCUGUGUAGCUGCUCCCCCACAGAUCAGUGAGUAGUAGAGAGAGGCAGGGAUAUUCUGUAACUUCCUAUACCUGCCUCUCUCCACACACAGUGACCCCUACUGACCGGUGCUGGUAUUGCAGAGUAAUUUCCAUUUAUUCUGAGAAAAUUACCUGCAUUUGUAUUGCCGGUAUUACUGCAAUACUUGCACGGCAGCCUCAAAUACCAGCUGUGCUAGUAAAAUACCAGUCAGGUGGCAAACCUAAGAGUAGUGUG